rnacentral:lncRNA from 1 species
GGGGGACGUGAGGCCCGUGAGGUCCGUGCGGCGGUGGCGGGCGCGCGGCACGAGGAGCGUGUGGCGUGGCACGGCACGGCACGGCGGGCGGGGCCGGCCGGCUGGAAUGGGCCUGGCUGCGGGAGUGAAUAGCAGCGGGAGUGAAUGGCAGCGGGGAUGGCGGUUUCCCAUCAGUGGUGUGUCGGGAGGGCGGCAGGCAGCGCCGCUCUGCGGGGCUCCGUGCUGAAGAGACGUUUGUGUGGGGGCAGGCGCUGGCCUACGGCGCUGUUCCCCGCGGGCUGCCUUCCCGCGCUUUGCCGGGGCCGGCGGUAACCGCUGUGGUGGUUAUUGCAGUCAGCAGCUUUCCUGCCCGACCCAUUACCGGUGGUUCGCGUGCUGCCAGGCUGCGGUACCGCAGGGGUGUAUUUGCACGAGGUAAAAAAGGAGUAGCAUCCUUCCCAAGCCCUGAGCCGUGAGAAGCUCCCUGCCCAGAACUGAACGGACAGCUGCAGUGCAGGUACGUUCAGUAAAACUUAUCACCCAGCUGCUAUCCAGAUUGGAAGGUCAGUACUAGAAAGGCUAAAUUUGAACUUAAAAGGUUAAGGUACAUUAUUGGCUUCGUUGCUCUACACCCUGGCCUUGCACAGACACGGUACGUCUGAAAUACAAAGGCCAAAUAUGACGCUUUCAUGUCUGAGAACUGAAUGGAGAUGAGACAUGCCAUGUGAGGCAAAAACGUGGGUUUAAUAAGAGAAUUUUGUCUCAAAACACAGUCAGUACUGACAUCUCCAGAAAUACAUAUGAAUUAACUUGUUAUUUUUCUCUAAAGGAAAGGUAAUCUUUACCCUCAUCUGAAAAUAGAUCUAUUUGAGAUAUCUUUCUUUAAAGUAUGCUCUUUCAUCUCCAACUCUACUGAAUUUGGAUGCCAGCUCUAAGUUUCUGUGUAACACCACUUAAUUUGCGUCAGCUCAGCAUUAAUUGUGAAAUAAACUUACUCACUGUGCUGAGCACAGAGAAUUCCAUGGGUUUCUGCAUGAACACGCUGUCAUAGUUUGAGAUGUAGGCAGAACAAGCAAAGGAUCAAGCUCUCCCCAUCUUUCCAAGACAGGCCUGGCUGGUUCACUUCAUUCCCAUGUGGUAAACCAUUCUUGCAGCUGCUAUUUAAUUUGCAUCACACCUUCUAUUGCCAGGCUUUCUGCAUCCUUAAAAGACCCCUUGUAUUUGAAUGCAAGACAGGCUUCUUCUAUACUUAGAAGAAGUGAGAAGGGUCUGUUCUCCAUGGAAUUUGGAAUGGAAAGAGUUGGGAUUAGAAAACUGGACUGAAGCUGGCAGAAGUUGAUACUUUAUACUUUUUUGUUGUCGUUACUAUUUAGUUCUGCAGGGGGAAUAGGAACAGGACACCCAGGAUUCAAAGUCUGUAAUCCAGAGGCUAAUUUACUGGAUUUGGUUGACUAACAGUGUUCACAACCCUAAAUAAAAAGGCAAAUGUUUUAUGUAGUGCACAGGGAGAAUUGUGCCAUGGCAGAAGUCUUGCAAGGUUGCCAGGCACUCUGAAGAGUAAUGGCAAAAGAUAAACUAUAAUCAAUAUUUAGUGCUACCAAUAAUUAAAUUUAUAGCUCUGAAUUUUGGAGAAAGGAGAAGCAAACUAUUUCAGAAAUAAACCAAGGAGUCAAGUAUCAGUGAUUCAUUUAAUAGCCUAGUGGUUAACAACCCCCAUGGGCUUUAAAAGAUCCAAAUUCAGCUUCCUUCUCUGCUUGUGAAAACUUUAAGCAUUCCACCCUCACACUGAGACUCUAGUUGUUAUGCAUGUUCCUGCCUUCUACCCUCUAGUCUUAUAAAUAUUAUUCUUACUACUUGUUAUGCUGUACCUGAUGGAAAAGCUCAGCAAUAGGAAAUGAGAAUAGAGUACUCAUCCAUCCUUUCCAAAUCCCAGACAAAUGUGCUGUCUUCCCUCGUGCAAACUGUUUUCAGAGGCAGGACAUGUGGAUGUGAAUUCAGUAGGGGUCAGUCCAGGCCACCCCUUCUGACUGUGUAUCACGUUAAAAACUGUGGUACCCACUGAUGCCUUAGUGCUUCCAGUAUGAUGUGACAGCAGAACGAGGCUGUUACAUGAGUUUGUACUUUAGCGUCUAAAUCCUGUGUAAUUUGUGUUAGAUUCUUGUAUCCUUUUGCAGAUCUGUGCAAUGCAGAUCUGAAUUGACAGAGCAAGCCCAAGCAGUUCUGUGAAAAAUCAAGUUCCUGAUGUUUUAGGAGUCUCUUGUUGGCCUAUAAGAGGAAGAUGCAAUAAGAACUCACCUACAGUGUAUCUUUGUUACAAUGGCUUUCAUUUGCUUCUCACAUCUUAUUCAGUAUUGUUACAUUCAGUCAACUUUCAAUGUGUUUGCUGCCUUAUCCAGAAAUGUGAGCACUUCUAGAGAAUGCUUCAUGUAGAGCUAGAAGUUAUGGAUUUGUGCAGAUGCUUUAGCAUUGCCAUCAUGGCUUUACCUUGUAUUGCCUGUUGACAGUUUCAUAACAAAGGGCUUAAUUAUGUAAUUUCCUGAGGUGGAUAAACAGCUCUACUGCAGGUCUCAGUAAAAGCAGCAAGAGCAACAUGGGGAAGAGAUAAUCUAGGACUCUUUAAACGUGACUUCCAGCAGGUUCACUGUCAGGCCUUGGGUGAGGUUGCUUUUCUCCUCCUCCUUGCUGUUUUCUGAGGGAAGUCUGUUUGCUCACCAGCUAGCAGCUCACUGCUUACUGAAUGCCAGGGAACACCCAAAAAAAAGCUUGCCAGUUCUGAUGUUGACUGCUUUGAAGAACUCAGAAAAAAGCUGGCUUCUGUCAGAGCGUUGCACAAAGUGGGCCAAGUUCCCAGGCGUGCAGGAGAGGAAUUGGUCGGGCUGUCUCAACUUCAGAAAAAUGAAGUUAGACAAUCAGAGCAUGGAAGGAUCCUUGGGCCCUGCAGUCAGAAGGGUUCCACUGCAAUGGGAAAUUAGUAGUCAGACAACGAACCUGCAGGAAAAAAAGUUAAUGUAUUCUCAAUUAAGCAACUAUUGGUCUUGUCAUCAGGUUGAUGAGCAUCAGGACUAUUCGGAGAACGCGCAGAAAUCCUCUUACAUAGACAUAGGACAGGCCCAAGCUGUUUCUCUGACCACAAUAAAAUAUGCGUCACCAUCCUUCUCCCACAUUCACAGAGCUAACCACAAGGCAAAAACUACUUUGGAAAUGCUUCUGUCAGUUCUUCCUCUCCAAGUAACCACCGAAGCUCAGAUAAGCUACAUCUUGGAAAACUUCACCUUGUGUUCACUCAUCUUUACAGGGAAGUUUCUAUAGGGCAGGAAGAAUGUCGUAUCUGCCUACAUAGAUUUAUGGCGUUCCAUCAACAUAAUGCUGCAAUGAUGAUGAACUGGAACAGCUCAAGGAGAACUUACUGGACAGGUGGCUUGGUUUCAGUAGUUAACUUCUAAGUAUUUCAAAACUUUGGCAGGUUUCAGUGACGCUGUUUGUACCAUAUGUUAUUUACGCGGCUUUAUGGCCAAGAAUGAGAGCAACAGCCUUGUAAAGAAAUGAGAUCCCUCUGACUUCAGUCAGGGGCAGAUGCACAUCCACUAUCAUCAUAGGAUUCAAAUGAUGAGCUAUUUUUAUAGCACUUCAGAAUGCUUUGACUCCUGAAUUGUGUAUUUCCACCCCUAAAUGCUCACACUUUUUUUUGUAUUUGACCUUCUUUUCUCUCUCCCCUUGCUGUAAAGGGAAGGAGACAAGGCUCAAAUUCAUUUUGUUGGUGAAAACUUUAUUCCAAGAUGAUUUAGCUCUCUUGGAAGGAGGCAGUGUGUCAGUUCUCUCAACAAAUGUUUUCUGUCCAAGAUGCAGUGCAGGGAAUGGGAUGGGUAUUCAUGAACUUCCACCCGUUUUCAAUCCAGGGCUCUCAGCAAGCAGCCUUGCUCUACAUGGCUGGAGAAGGCAGGAGAGACCAGUGGGGCUGCUGGAAGGCUGAGGCCCCUUGCUAGGCUGGAGGUGGGCAGAGAUUGCUGCUGUGAGGUUAUACACAGUGUGGCUUUCGACAGUAUUUGUCGCUAGAGCUAUAUAGCUCCAGGAAAAUUACUAUACAGUGCUGACCUCUAAUAGGAAGUGGGGGCAGGCCCACUAAUGCUGGGAUUAUCUUUAAUAAUCAGGGAAUAAAUAUCAGGUCUACUCUUCAGGCAUUUUAGAGAGCAUCCUCCCAGAUUGCUCAGGGACACGAGAGAGAUCGCAGCCUCUUCAUCUUCACCAGGGUUUGCCCCUGCUCCCCAGCACACACACAUUCUCACUGUGCCAGAUAACAUGAUUACUUCCCACUGGGAGAAGUGUUGCAAACUUAUCUCAAAGUGGAAAUUUACAUGCAGGUAUCUUUUUUUCCUCACGCUAUGAAAGAACAUAGAAAUAGUUGUUAUUCUCUAGAUGGGGUGGUAACAAGUCACAACAAGCCAAAGCUACAAACAUGUUCAUCGCUGACAGAGGAUGGUUGGAAAAAGUUGUGCAGCACACCACGCUUACCACCACGCUGCUCGGCUGCGGUUUGUGCCAGCCACUGUUGCCUCCAAACUUUGCCACGUGGCUGCAGUGGGCACUGGGUGCUUUGGAAAGUUGGCCAUGAGCCCGUGGGGGUGGAGGGCGCUGAGAGAAGGACAGAGACAGGUGGCAAGACUGCACAAGGAGCACUAAAUGCAGGAAAGCAAUACUAGUCCUUGUCUUUGGGCUGCAUGUGGGAUAGCACGCUCUGCUCCUGCCACCUUAGCAAUUAAUCCUAGUCAUAGGAGAGCCCAGGUUGGAAAGAACCUUGGAAAAUCAUCAAGUCCAACAUUCUGUGAGAAAAGGGAGCCCAAAUGAGAUUAUCUAGCACCCUGACCAACUGCAUCUCAAAAACCUCAUGAUGGGGAUUCUACCAUAUCACUGGGGUGGUCAUUCCAGCGAUGGGUUGUUCUCAGUGUAAAGAAUGUCUUUUAUUUCAAGACAGUAGUUCUUUAUUCCUAGAUAGAUAGGGCAAGACAGAUCCAUUAUUUUUGCUUGUAUAGUUUAGUGCGUGCUUUGCCUUUUCCUGCCACCUAACUGAUUUUACAUGUACCACAACAGCCUGCAGAAGCAUAGUACGAAGACAGUUCCUUGUAGCUUCCAGGCAGGAUUCACUAUGCAGACAAUAACUAGUGAAGCCAUUCACUCCUUGGUUAAACGUGGAAACUAAUUUCGAAGCUAGGCGAACAGAAGCAAGUCCUUCGCCUUCAUUUAGCCACUCUGAAGACCAUUAGAUAAAGGACAGGAGGGUUAUCUAGAAGAGUUUCCACAGAAUCAGUCUGAACAGGAAGACAGGAUGGAGAAUACAAGAGAAAUGGGGCAGUUUCAGAAUAUUUCACUAUGUUUUGGAGAACUUAGCUCAAACUAAGAAUUAGCACUAGUCAUGGCAGCUUGGUGGCUAAUGGUAAAGCAUGCUGCCAAACACACCCACUGCACCACCUUUGGCAAAGUAUGGCUGCACGUCACAUUGCUGCAGCAGUGUUGGUUCAGCCUUAACACAACACACUUGCUUUCACUGCCCCAAGAGCUGCUCUGCCUUCUGGCUUCCUGGCAUCUUGACUUGCUCUUCCAGCACACAGCAUGGAGCAUGGGGGAGAGAGGACAAGCUGGGGGGUUUCCGAGUACCUGUGUGGCAAACAGGCGAUCUCCUUGACUCUGUCCACUUGCAGGAAGGUGAUUCACAGAGUCCUGACCAUUCACUUUUAGCAGUCAGUGUAGGGGGAAAGCUGAAUCACUGCUAACUUUGGAUGCUGACUGACCCUUUUCCUGCUUUGUUAUGGCUAUUGAUCCUACACUUGAGGUCAGCUGAGAAAGGCUACGUAAUCUGAUCUCUAGUGUCUAUAUUUGUGUCAUCACAGCUGGAGAGGAGAAUUCACAAGUGACUGACAGGUAUCUGAGUUCAGCUGAGGGGGCACACUUGCAGUUAACGCCUCUGGAAAGAAUGACACAUCAAGAAAUGGUCCAGACAUCCAGGUUAAGCCCUUCAUUUGACCCUCAGCAAAUACUUCAACUCCUAUCUGUAAAACAAAGCUGCAGGUACUUUUCUGCUCUGUCAUGCUCUUGAAGCCUGGCUUCUAAAGAAGUGCAUGGAAAGCCUCACUGGAAGCACAGCAGAGUAAUUUCAACAUGCAGUGCAGCUGUGCACUGUGAAAAGAGCUUGCCUUCAGGCACAGCAGCACCAAGAACCAGCAGUACAGGUUCACUCUCCCAGAGUGAACUCUCAGAUGUUUCCAAAGGAAUUUCUAGCCUAGAGGAGCCCAAGGUGUGGGAUCAGAGAUGUCCCUUUACUUCAGCUGUCCUCCUAGAUACAGAAUCUAAUGAUGAAGUGUGUGACUAUUCUGUGCCAUGCACUCCAUGGACUUUGAGAACUGUCACUCUAGUUUAAUUGGUGGCCUGCUUUCACAACACGAGGGGCAGUUCCUUUCCUGGAAGACAGAUCUCUGUUCUCUGCAGCAGAACUUCUAUUUCAUGAUGUCUCUGCGAUUUUCAGUGCCACGCUGACAGCAAGUAAGGUAACUUAACCCUUUAGAUAAGUGCUUUGGAUGCAGCUUUAUGUUCUCUUCUAGAAAUGGUGGGAAAAUCAGGGCUAUCUUUAAAACUGUAACUGCACUGCUGUGAUAAUCUGGAUAGAGAAACCCUACUUCUCUUUUGUAAAUCUAACCUAUACCUCAGGUAUGUUUUGUUUCUUCUAACCUUUCAUUAAUUCUUAGGCUAACAGUCCACAGUAGCCUCUAUAGCCAAAAGGAUUUGCUGUGUCUCUGUUCCCUGUUAGUUCUCCACACGACCCAGAGUUUGGAUUGCCUGCAUGAUGAAUUCUCCAAAAUUGGUCACAGCGUUUGCCAUUUCGGUCCUUGGUUUGCUCACCCCAAAUCACAGAAGGCCAAAAAUCACAGAUUUUUUUUUUUUCUCCAUAUUAAGGAAGAAAAUCAAAUGGUUUCCAUGCCUCUCAAAACCUGCAUCUAAUACUGCUGUAAGACUAAUUAUUAGCACAAUAUUUGGAAAACAAGAAUAGCUCUGAUUACAUUUCCAGCAAUAACACAAAAGCUGUAUUUGGUGGGGGCUUAAAGAGAUGGCAUGUGUUUUCUGGAAUGGUAAAGAGGCAAGGAGAUCCUGCUGGAAUAAUCCUGUUUGCACUACUAUCACGUUAUCAUUAUUAACUGUUUGUUGGUACAUCAAAGCUGUGGCUUUACAAAUAACCCUGACUGCCUACGUACCUGCAGCCCUACACACUUUGCCUUGCUUUACAUCAGUUCUGAAUAACGACUUGAGUUCUUCCAUAAAUAGAUGCAGCUCUACCAAGUCAGGGAGAAUUCUAAUUGCUUAUAUUUAGCUUUGUAAAGCUUGAGGACGGGUACUGCAUAUGUUAAAACAUUGGACUGGUUUUCUACAUUUGCUGUUGCUCUUCUUAAAUGCAAGUUAGCUGUAGAGUUGCUCGAUUUUAUGCUGGGAUGAGGAAGGGUUCUCCUUGAAUCCAUGCCAACCAGAGAUGCUGGAGAAAAUACACCCAAAGCUUUCCCUAUUCUGCCUCCUGAUUGUUCAGGCCCUGCAAGGCAGCAGUUAGGGAGCACUAGGCUUCACACCAUUUAUUUCUGCACUGUCCUAACCCUGAGUUGGCUCAGAAGCUGCCACAUUGUUCAGGCUGCAUUUGAUAGGACUCAAACAGCUCUCGGUUCUGGAAAACUUCCACUCCCACUGCUUGGCUCCAUACCUUGCUCAGGUUUCUAUAUCAAGAAGCUUAGCUAGUUCCACUUCAUAGUCUUGAUUUAUUUAUAUCCUUUUAAUACUGAGCGAUAAAUAGUACUGAACACUGACGCCUCCCAAAAAUGUGCUCCUGGGCACCUGUCAAACAAAUGAGUUGCAUGAAGGAAAAAAUAAGCAGUUCAUAUUCACUUAACUCCUUGACAGCUGAGGGCAAACAUCUUGAAUUUAGUGGGAAAUGAUAGAAAGUCUGUAGCAAUAUGAUGGAAGUGGAAGGAAGGCACUAAAUGCUGCAUAUCCCCCAGCAUUAGGCAGGCUUACCACUGCAUUUUUGUUCCUGGAUAUUGCUUCAGUCUUACACAUUAGGGAUUGUUCUAUGCCCCAGCUGUGCUUCAGUCCAGAUGCAAUGAAACACUCAUUCUCAACUGGAAAGAAGGCGUGAUAGGGUAGAUGUAGGAAAAUACAAACACAUGGCAUUUCCUAUAGGACAUCAAGCUGCUGAGUGACACCUACAUUAAGGUGGUUAUCAUCCUAACCUACCUGACAGCUGUACAUUUUCAUGGAGGCAUAUCAACAGCAGUAUUUAGGAUUUCUCCAAGGUCAGACUGCAGUUUAACAGGGCAUGCAGCAAGGUGGAAUCAGUGAGUGCACAGAAAAGACAGACAACCACUUUGCUACACACACACACGCUCAAGCUGCAAGAUCACUGGGCCCAUUUCUCGUGGCUACAGUUCAUCCUUUUUGAAGGGCAUAACACAAAUCCUGUGCCAUCCCGUGCAACACUAACAACAUGAACAGAACUUCACUUUUAUACGCAAGUGAAAAUGUCCAAUGAAAUGAGAGAUCACUCGACAUCAUUUUAAAACUCUUGUAUGUGUGUAUAUACAUACAUAUAUACACACACUCACAGUGAAUAUAUAUUAGUAAAUACAUAUAAACAUUUACACAGUUAGAACCACCCCAGUAUAUACACACGCAGUAUACCCCUUCACUCACCAAGCGAGUACAUUGUGUUGCACUGACAGAAUCCACUGCUCAGUCACCUUUUAAAUUAUAAGUUAUGUAGAAUUUGUUCAGAGAGGGGCCAAUCAUGGUAAGCACAGAUCUACAUAGAACUCAAGCUCUAUUAAUGAUACUUCAGUAAGAAGGAUCCACCCAGUUUCCUUCAUUUAUCAACUUCACUUUCAGAAAAAUAAAUACUUUCUAGCGAUAUGCUACAGCCCUGUUAAGCCAAGCAGGAUUUUUUUUUCCUUUAUGUAUAAAGUAUUUCACAUCAUCUACACCAUGCAGUAUAAAAUACAAAAUCAUGAUUGCAAGUGAUUGUAUUUUGAUUUGGCCCCAUAACUGCUUUUGUUAGAAAGAAAAAGAACAACUAAUUCAUAUAAACCUUAAAAAACAAGCAGACAGUUCGUUUCCAAAGGAAAACAGCUAUCAGUAAUAAUCAGUUAUCUGCAAUUUUUACAUUACACAUUGCAAAUGUAAGCAGUAAGAACAGCAAACUCAACCAAGAGCAAAAAUUACGUACUCGUCCAAACUAAGACACACAACUCAGAACACCUCACGUGCUUUGUAAAGAUUUGUUUGAAGCACCUACCUGAUGUUCUUGUUAAAAUAUCAAAAAGUAGAUUAGCUUGAAGAAGUCUACUGGAAAAAAACAUUAUCUUAAAAAGGCAUACUUCAAAGCCUUAUCUAAAAAGGAUUCUCAGAGCUGAAGUUCUGUAUCUCUCAGUGACAUUGCAUUGUUCAAAAAGCCCUGCAGAAUGUUACAGUUCUAAGCACUGAUACUGAUCAGCUGUCAAGAGAAAACAGAGCUUGUUUGUUACACACUCAAGUAAGAAGAAAAAAUAAUCACAGAACUAUUGCUAAAAGUGACCCUCAGAGUAGAAAUAAAGUGUUUUUAAAGUCUGGAGGAAAACAGUGAUUAGGUAAUAACAGUAAGGAUAGAGUCAGACCUGUUUUUCCUUACUGGCAACACGCAGUGUGAUUUUUUUGUUGCUUUUUUAAAUGAAGUCACUUGAGGCUGCGUCAACGUUUCCAGCAUUAGUGGUGCCUUAUGUAAUGUCCCAGCAGGUUGGUGUUUGCACCCCCAUAUUUUGAUACAAAUGGUGACAGUAUUUUCAAAAGAGUUCCUUUUACAUUAAAUAGCUAUUUUAAAAUUUGUAAUAAAAGCUCUCUAAACAACAGUACCAAAAACUAGGUAAACCAAGCUUCAGUCAGCGUCAGAGGACCUCUUCACAGAGGGAAGGUAAAUCCUCCUCUGGAACAGUUACAAUAAUGUACAGAAAUGAGACCAAAGAUACACACAAGAAGUUACAGGUCAACUCAUUUACUGGGAGCUGUGCAAUGAUUUCCACGCUGAGGAUCCAAUCUGCUUAACAGUCAGCCCUGUCUUCAGCUGUUAGCUGCCCGGGUGGAUGCACUCAGAAACAGAAGCCUGAUGUUCAGAUGUCUUUCUGCUGACAUCCCAUCUAGAAUCGUGGCAGCCAUGUCUCACCAGGGUCAGAACAAAGAGAGACAGCUGGGGCAAUUCCACAGCCUAGCUUAUGAAGUUCAGCAUCACGCAUCAGCUUAGUGCUCACGACGAGGUGUGAUGCACUGCUCUGUUCUCUGCAUACUGCUGUGCUUUCCUGAUUACAAGCAAGACUGACUUUCACUACACACGCACACAACACUUGAAAAGUGUGAAGUGCUAACAACUCCAGAGCACAGCAAAACUUGACUGCAAUUCCAAGGUUAGAACACCUGAGCUUCUGGAAGCACAGAUCAGACCCUUCAUCUCUCCAGUACCCCACACUACAUACAGGUUUCCUUGCUCAUAAGAGCCAGUGUGCACAUUAAAUAACAUUUAAGUAAUGCUCUGACAUCUGCAAUGAGCCAGGUUUUCCAUUGGAGUCCGAGAGUUAGGAGUCCUGUGAAAGAGUUCAGCUUAACACGUAGCUAGCUUUUUAGUACACAUCAUGUCACAGAGUUACUGUUUUCCUUACAAAUAUAUGGCACUAGGUGAAAAACGUUAUGACUUAUUCCAAACAGUGCACCAUACUUCACAGCAAAGCUUGAAAAGAAUUCUUCGACUCCCACUUCUUCUAAAUAUACAGCUGGUGGGAGGCCAGGGUGUCCAUGAACGGUCGCACAAGGUUGUCUGUCGAGAAGUAAAAGAUCAAGCCGAAGGUGAUGGAGAUGGGAAGAGCAGGCAGUGCUUUCUUAAAAACAGCCAGUAGUAAGAGAGUUAAACAUAAACCCUGCCAGAGGGAAUAAAAACACAAGGAAAUAAAGUAAGAAGCCCAGAAACAUACCUCCGGUAACAAUCUAAUAUAUAAGAGCUAGAUACACUGUACAUAAAUUGAAGCCUGUCUGAACUACCAAUGAAAUCAGAUACAUUUCCCCACAUCUUCAUCUUUCUAAACAGCUGGCCAAGUAUUUUCUUCAGCAGUCUUGGAGCACAGCUCCAGAAAUUAACGUGAACAGCUUGUGCUGCCAUAUUGAGAGGUUAAUUUAUUUUCAGAUCAUUUUACAUUUUGUUCUACACCAUUCUGUACCAAUUACCGAACCAGCAGAUAAACCAUAUAGCCCUGUUGAAAUGCACGGAGUUUCACUGGACGGCUCACACACACAGCAGUACAUGCUUCUACCACCUCCACACAUUUCAAGGUCUCUUGGGGGGGAAAAGAAAAAAAAAAAUCACCAAAAACUAUCCCACUGCUGUUCUCUUGACGGGAUUGCUUAUUGUAAUAAGUGGAUUCUGUUUUUAUUUCGUAGCAGGCCAAAAUCCAUCUCUUAGAAAAGAUAUGGAAGCUUUUAAAGGUUUGGGAUACACAGUACAGUUGGAUUAAGUAUAUUUUGGUAUGGAUUACUUCUCUUAUCUGAGCCCUUUUGUCUUCCUUUAUGAUGACGAAACUUCAGAGACAAUGUCCAUGCUGGGCUCCACCAACCAUCCAUUUGCUCGGGAUCAACAGGUGGAACUUUAUUUAUUUAUUUUUAAACCAGUGUUUCUGGGCUGCAUGGCUGGCUAUAAUCCAGCUGACUCUAUGGCUCUGUUCUUCACACUCUUCAUGGGCCGUAUCUGGCCUACACCUACUCCACAGUGUAAUUAAAUGAUGUGCCCACUGCCUGGACACUGCAGGGACACAGUUUUGGAACCAGAAAGCCACAGCACCAGAAUUAUGAAACAAAGAAGAAACCAGAACAAAUUUAACAGCACCUUAAAAGACAGAGAGUAGUGUAUAAGGCCUAAGAGACAGAGGAGAGCUUUCCCCACAGUAAAGGGGCCCUGUGCUGGACCCAGGGACACUGAGGGAGGCAACUGUAUAGGUGUCUCUGACCUAUGAGGUAGGACACAUCAGGAAAGGUAGUCAACACCCCAUUUGAUUGAUUAGAUUUCUAGUUCUAGUGCUCUCUGAUCCAUGUUCUUCAUAACGGAGAAUCACUAUAAUUCUCUUCCCUUGGGGUCUAGUCAGGGAAAUGGAAGCUCAAGACAGACACAAUAAUUCAUUUUCUUUUGUCUCCUGCCACUGCUCUUCUUCUUAGUUUCAACAAGGAUGCUGGUAUAAAGAACUAGUUGCUAUUAAUAAUUUUCUACCUAGGUGAAAGCUCAACAGCAUAUAGUCAUUAGAUCUGGCAGGCCUGAGUCCUUAAGCAGGUACAACGUGAUAGUCAUCUACUUUUACUCAUAAUUUCCAUGGAUUUUUAAAUCUCCUUAUAUUCUAGUUUUUCCAGCUCAAACACAAGAAUGAAAUAUGCCUUCAUCCUCUUGUGUCACAGUUCUUCUUAGCAAGAGGGAGUUAGUUAGCCUCCUUGACUACACCUACUAAUCAACAUGGAGUUCAUAAUAUUAACUCUUCCUUCUGACAAAGUCCCCAGUCUCUGGGGGAACUGAACACUGCAGCAAACAUGUAAGCAGUUCAGCUGUUACUGUUUUCCUAGGGUCUGUUUGACCAAAAUCACCUCCACAUUUGGCUCUGCUCUGAAGAGUCCUCCCUCCCAGCCUAUAUCACGUAGCUUCUCCUAGAAGUCACUUAAAGCCUGUCACUAAAGACAGAGCACUGGGCUAGGAAAUCCAUGUGUGUGUUCACCUGAGUACCCAGAACAUUACCUGGAGUGAUUUAGCAGUCGUAGCUGUUUGUGCUUCUGGCAAUAUACUGCUGUGCUAAAUAAGCCUAUAGUAGUUUCAAAAACUUGCUCACUUACUAUGAGAAUGGCUACAAAGCAGGCCAGUGUAGUAUUCCAGUCUCCACUAGGUGUGGCAGCUGCUUUCCCAACCAGCACACUGUAAAAUAUGAAGUCUCCAAGGCCCAGUUUCACACCUCCUGCAAGAAGUGGAAGGGAAAGAAAACAAGUCUUACUUCUCCUGUUUUGCUUCCUUCUGAACCAAGUCUUGUCUCCUGGGGACCAGGUGAAGGUUGCUAGCCCUGACUACCAACCAAG